UUUUUUUAGAUUUAUUUUCAGAUUAAUGUUAUAUGUUUCAUAUAGCAAUAUUUUAUGUCAAAUGAAAGCCCUGCUUCUCCUGAACAAAAUUAUAUAUAAUAGGUGUGGGUGCACUUAAUAAGAAACAGGUGAUUUAUGGUUGAACAGACAUGCAGCUCACAUUUUAUGUUUUGCGUUGGCUUAGAACAUGUACCAUUGCCUCCGUCCUUAGUAGGGUUAACAGGGGUAACAGCCUUGAUAUAAUGUUUAUAAAACAACAACUGAAAAAUUUAAAAUCAUGUUAUCUUAACAUGAAAAUGGCCUACCCCUACAACUAAAUUUUUCUAAUAUUAAAAUAAAUUUUUUAUGUUAAUUUAAUUCUAAUUAAUAUCAUAAAACUGUAUGUAUUUCAAUAAAUACUAGAAUGUUGGUUGCUCCAAUAUUCUAUUGCAUUGGUUCCUUAUGAUGUAAAACAUCUUGCUUAAACAUAUUGCUACCAAGUUUUUUUAAAACCAGUAAAUUUAUUUGAAACAUGGGAGAAAUGUAUAGAUAAAUAUUUGGCAGAAACAGUAAUUUUGUGUCUAGGCUGCUAUCCAAAGAUUAAAAAAAUGAUAUAAUUUGCAUUACUUAAAUUUAUACUUUAUUAUUUCAUACUUUACAUAAAUGUUUAGGUGCUAUUAGUGAAUGUGCAGUAUUUAUUUUAGUUCAAACUCUGAAACAGAGCUUAAAAUGUUAAUAUAGAAGUGGAUAUUUUAUCACCUACAAGAGACAAGACAUAAAAAAUGGUGAAAUACUCUGCUCAUGUGUACUUGGAAGGAUCCCAUUGGGAUGUAUUCAGCAUCCUAAAAAUAACACCAGAAAAUAGAAGCUAAUAUUUGUGAGUUGGUGUAAACCCCAUAUUCAGUAAAUACAGUUAUAUCUGCAACAUAGUACAAUUCUGCUGCAGCUUGCAGUAUCCCUAUAGUAUACCUAGAAUGGGUUGGUUAACACUUAAAGUGUGUGUGAAUAUAUAUAUAUAUAUAUAUUGGAUAGUCAAUAUAUUGUAAAACACAGAUCUGUACACCAGUCAAGUCAUAAGACUUGCUUUUCCCACUGAAAUAUCAAAUUUGCAGUGAUGUUACAACUGCACUGGAUUCUGGGUGGGCAUAGGUAAAUUAGAGAGAGAGAGAUAACUUACCCUACUGAAAGCAGGAAGUCGAUCAGUUAAUUAAACAGAUGUGUAUACAUCAUGAUUAUGAGCUAAACUAAUAUAAUGAUCUGUAUGAAAAAAUAUAACAGCUUUGACAUAGUAAACCUUUCAGGAACUCUUUAAGGUGGGAAAAGCUUAAAGACAAGAGUUAUGUUCCGUUUUAAGAAAAUGUUUUAACUUACUGCCUGUAUUAUAUUGUUGUUUUAUUAAAUGGCAAUAAAGCUAUUUCCAUUUUCACCCAUGCAAACAAGUAUUUGAUAUAUUACGUAAGCUUUGAUAUUACAUUACAAUGUUUUGAUACUGUAUAUAUAAUCACUCUCUAUAUAUAAAUCUGUAUAGAUCAAUCAGUCAAAAUGUUUGUGUGUGUAUAACUUUAUUUAUAUAACACUGAAUGUUCGUAUUAUUAUCUCUUAUUUUGAGUACUUGAUGAACAUUCUAAGCCUUUUCAAGCCACAUUAAAUGAAGUAGACAAAAAUGUAUUAUUAUUAUUAUUAUUAUUAUUAAUUUAAGGCACAGUACCUUACAUAUAUAUUUUGUGUUCAUCUGGGC